rnacentral:rRNA from 1 species
GAUGAACGCUGGCGGCGUGCCUAAUACAUGCAAGUCGAGCGAACAGACGAGGAGCUUGCUCCUCUGACGUUAGCGGCGGACGGGUGAGUAACACGUGGAUAACCUACCUAUAAGACUGGGAUAACUUCGGGAAACCGGAGCUAAUACCGGAUAAUAUAUUGAACCGCAUGGUUCAAUAGUGAAAGACGGUUUUGCUGUCACUUAUAGAUGGAUCCGCGCCGCAUUAGCUAGUUGGUAAGGUAACGGCUUACCAAGGCAACGAUGCGUAGCCGACCUGAGAGUGUGAGCGCCCACACGGGAACUGACACAGGCUCCAGACUCCGGCGGGAGGCACCAGGGGGGAGUCUUCCGCAAUGGGCGAAGGCCUGACGGAGCAGCGCCGGGUGAGUAAUAAAGGUUUUGGUAUCUAAAACCUUUUUUAUUGGGAAAAAAAAAAUGUGAAAGUAUAUAUGCGCGUCUGGAGGGUCCCUAAUAAGAAAACCAGGGAUAAUACGGUC